GACGAACGCUGGCGGCGUGCUUAACACAUGCAAGUCGAACGGAAAGGCCCUGCUUGCUGGGUACUCGAGUGGCGAACGGGUGAGUAACACGUGGGUGAUCUGCCCUGCACUUCGGGAUAAGCCUGGGAAACUGGGUCUAAUACCGGAUAGGAGCCAUUUUUAGUGUGAUGGUUGGAAAGUUUUUUCGGUGUAGGAUGAGCUCGCGGCCUAUCAGCUUGUUGGUGGGGUAAUGGCCUACCAAGGCGGCGACGGGUAGCCGGCCUGAGAGGGUGGACGGCCACAGUGGGACUGAGAUACGGCCCAGACUCCUACGGGAGGCAGCAGUGGGGAAUAUUGCACAAUGGGCGCAAGCCUGAUGCAGCGACGCCGCGGGGGGGAUGACGGCCUUCGGGUUGUAAACUCCUUUCGCUAGGGACGAAGCUUUUUGUGACGGUACCUAGAUAAGAAGCACCGGCUAACUACGUG
rnacentral:rRNA from 1 species